AACGAACGCUGGCGGCAGGCUUAACACAUGCAAGUCGAGCGCCCCGCAAGGGGAGCGGCAGACGGGUGAGUAACGCGUGGGAAUCUACCUAUCACUACGGAACAACUCCGGGAAACUGGAGCUAAUACCGUAUACGUCCGAGAGGAGAAAGAUUUAUCGGUGAUAGAUGAGCCCGCGUUGGAUUAGCUAGUUGGUGGGGUAAUGGCCUACCAAGGCGACGAUCCAUAGCUGGUCUGAGAGGAUGAUCAGCCACACUGGGACUGAGACACGGCCCAGACUCCUACGGGAGGCAGCAGUGGGGAAUAUUGGACAAUGGGCGAAAGCCUGAUCCAGCCAUGCCGCGUGAGUGAUGAAGGCCUUAGGGUUGUAAAGCUCUUUCACCGGUGAAGAUAAUGACGGUAACCGGAGAAGAAGCCCCGGCUAACUUCGUGCCAGCAGCCGCGGU
rnacentral:rRNA from 1 species